rnacentral:rRNA from 1 species
GAUGAACGCUGACAGCAUGCUUAACACAUGCAAGUCAACUGUGGCGGACGGGUGAGUAACGCGUAAAGAACUUGCCUCACAGCUAGGGACAACAUUUGGAAACGAAUGCUAAUACCUGACACUGUGAGAGAGCUUUGCGUCCCAUUAGCUAGUUGGAGAGGUAACGGCCCACAAAGGCGAUGAUGGGUAGCCGGCCUGAGAGGGUGAUCGGCCACAAGCGGACUGGGGCACGGCCCUUACGGCUGCGGGGGGCAGCAGUGGAGAAUUGAGGACGAUGGACCAAAGUCUGAUCCAGGAAUUCGGUGUGCACAAUGAAGUUUUCGGGAUGUAAAGUGCUUUCAGUUGGGGAGCGGUACCAACAGAAGAAGUGACGGCUAAAUACGUGCCAGCAGCCGCGGUAAUAC